rnacentral:rRNA from 1 species
GACGAACGCUGGCGGCGUGCUUAACACAUGCAAGUCGAACGGUGAAGCGCCUUCCUUUUUGGUGGGUGUGGAUGAGUGGCGAACGGGUGAGUAACACGUGAGUAACCUGCCCCCUUCUUCUGGAUAACCGCAUGAAAGUGUGGCUAAUACGGGAUAUUCUGGGUCUGUCGCAUGAUGGGUCUGGGAAAGAUAUUGUUUCGGUGGGGGAUGGGCUCGCGGCCUAUCAGCUUGUUGGUGGGGUGAUGGCCUACCAAGGCGGUGACGGGUAGCCGGCCUGAGAGGGUGGACGGUCACACGGGGACUGAGACACGGCCCAGACUCCUACGGGGGGCAGCAGUGGGGAAUAUUGCACAAUGGGCGCAAGCCUGAUGCAGCGACGCCGCGUGAGGGAUGGAGGCCUUCGGGUUGUGAACCUCUUUCGCCAGUGAAGCAGGCCUGCCUCGUUUGUGGGUGGGUUGACGGUAGCUGGAGAAGAAGCGCCGGCUAACUACGUG